AAAGAAACCAACAGGGAUUGCCUUAGUAACGGCGAGUGAAGCGGCAAAAGCUCAAAUUUGAAAUCUGGCGCCUUCGGUGUCCGAGUUGUAAUUUGAAGAAGGUAACUUUGGAGUUGGCUCUUGUCUAUGUUCCUUGGAACAGGACGUCACAGAGGGUGAGAAUCCCGUGCGAUGAGAUGCCCAAUUCUAUGUAAAGUGCUUUCGAAGAGUCGAGUUGUUUGGGAAUGCAGCUCUAAGUGGGUGGUAAAUUCCAUCUAAAGCUAAAUAUUGGCGAGAGACCGAUAGCGAACAAGUACAGUGAUGGAAAGAUGAAAAGAACUUUGAAAAGAGAGUGAAAAAGUACGUGAAAUUGUUGAAAGGGAAGGGCUUGAGAUCAGACUUGGUAUUUUGCGAUCCUUUCCUUCUUGGUUGGGUUCUCCGCAGCUUACUGGGCCAGCAUCGGUUUGGAUGGUAGGAUAAUGAUUAAGGAAUGUGGCUCUACUUCGGUGGAGUGUUAUAGCCUUGGUUGAUACUGCCUGUCUAGACCGAGGACUGCGUCUUUGACUAGGAUGCUGGCAUAAUGAUCUUAAGCCACCCGUC
rnacentral:rRNA from 1 species